GAUGAACGCUGGCGGCGUGCCUAAUACAUGCAAGUCGAGCGAAUGGAUUAAGAGCUUGCUCUUAUGAAGUUAGCGGCGGACGGGUGAGUAACACGUGGGUAACCUGCCCAUAAGACUGGGAUAACUCCGGGAAACCGGGGCUAAUACCGGAUAACAUUUUGAACCGCAUGGUUCGAAAUUGAAAGGCGGCUUCGGCUGUCACUUAUGGAUGGACCCGCGUCGCAUUAGCUAGUUGGUGAGGUAACGGCUCACCAAGGCAACGAUGCGUAGCCGACCUGAGAGGGUGAUCGGCCACCCUGGGACUGAGACACGGCCCAGACUCCUACGGGAGGCAGCAGUAGGGAAUCUUCCGCAAUGGACGAAAGUCUGGCGGAGCAACGCCGCGUGAGUGAUGAAGGCUUUCGGGUCGUAAAACUCUGUUGUUAGGGAAGAACAAGUGCUAGUUGAAUAAGCUGGCACCUUGACGGUACCUAACCAGAAAGCCACGGCUAACUACGUGCCAGCCGCCGCGGUAACAC
rnacentral:rRNA from 1 species